GGCUGGGCCCAGCCUGGGGGCCGGGGAGGCAGCGGCUGGACUGUGUGGGGACGGGGGAGGGGACUGAGCUCCAGGGCUGUGGGAGCGUUUUCUUUCCUGUCCCGCCCCUCCUCCAGGGCUUCCUCUCCUCUCCGGUUGGCAGGGUGUGUGCUGCGUCCUGUCCCCAGAACAGGCAGCCUCACACACCAGACCCUCCUCCCUCCGCACCAAGGAAACUUCUGCAUUUUCCUGAGGAUCCCGGCGUGGCAGGGCCUCCCUGCAUCCUCCAGGCCAGGGCCCGAGCAGGGGCCAUGGGCAGGGCGGGGCGGAGUCCGUCCUCAAGGGACACUCUUUCCUUGCCACCCCCAGCCAUUGUGGAAGGGAAGGCAAAGCCCCCAGGCGAGAGUGUCCGGGGCUGCUCCAGGCCCCUCCGCAGGGAAGCCAGAGCCCGGACAGGCUGGUGAGAGGGUGUGGGGGAGGUCUGCUGGCUCCCCGAGGCUCCGGGAACACGGUGUGCGUCCUGCGUGACCGGGGGUGGGCCCCCUCAGCACCCCUCGGGCUCAGUUUCCUCACCUGCACAGUGGGUCUAGCCAUCACUGCCCUGCUCGGCCGUGAGUCGUGGUUUCCUCCAGUUCUCUGACUGCAUCCGUAAUGGUCAGCUUGAAGUCUUUCCCUGUUAAAGCCGGCAUCUCACUCUGUCACCUGCGUUUUAGGAGCAACAUGCGGGUAAACUCCACUCACAGCUGGCCAACUGCUGUUUUCAACAAUGCCCUGGGCAGAAGCUGCUUCUCAGACCAAUCCCAUUGCACCUGG
ensembl:lncRNA